UUGUAGAAGCAUCGCUCCCGUCUCUGCCUAUCUUCACAUGGCUGUCCCCUCCUGUGUGUCUUUCCACUUCUUACAAAAACCCAGGUCAUAUGGGAUUAAGGGCACACCCUACCCAUGGUGACCUCAUCUUAAUUAAUUCCAUCUUUGACGACCCUCUCCAAAUAAGGACACGUUCCUGGACACUAAGGGCUAGGACUUCAACGUAUCCUUUUGGGGGACACAAUUCAACCCACAAGAACCAGGAAUUAGAACUGAAUGGGCUGAAAGGGAAGACUAUGCAUCAUGGAAGUAGUUUCUGUAGAAGCAGCCGCCACUCCAGGGUCUGGGGGACAAACACAAGGGGACAAACGUGUUAAAUCGUACAAGUGUGUGGAGUAUCUCUGUGGAUCGGCGACUCAGAUCUCUAAGGAGAUGCUAGUGUCCCUCAAGAGUCAUGAUGAGGCCGGGCUGUGAGCAGCACACUGAACACGGCAGCCACCGUUGCUACUGGAAUGGACUGUCACUGCCAGGUGACACUGACAGGAAGCCGGAGCAGGCUAGCGGGAGCAAGUGCUUCUUCCUGCUUCAACCUUCCAUCCCUGUGGAGCCCAUUGGCAGGACCAACCAGGAAGCCACCUGGCAGAGGAGAAGCGUGGUUCACAGAGACCCAGAUCACAGAGCAGAGCACAGAGAGGUGGGCUUGGGGCCCAGAGACUGUCACUUCUUCAGCCUUUUCUUCAGAUGGCUCAUCUCACCCAGCAGUUAACGGGUUGGACACGCGGAGAUUUGGCGCACAUGGGAUCAGCCAGCAUCCUCAGGUGUGGCGUCGUACAGCGCUCUGAUCCGCAUCCAGCAACGUGUGUCCUCGCUCUGAGGUGCUGCGUGCUUGGCCGGGCCAUCAGGCAUUGAGUCUCUGUUUUCAGGUGCUCAGCACAAAAACCGCAAUACAGAUGUGACAGCAGACCCUUCCAGCUGUCGGGAUGCUCCCCAGGUUACUGCCCUCCUCCAGGGCCUGAAGGUGGAGAGGUCGUGGAGCUGUGGGAGGAGGGAAGCUGUUGCUUCUUCUAAUGCUGGGAGUGAGUCAGCAGCAGAGCAAGUCUGGCAACUCAGCCCACCCAUGCUGUAGGGGCAUCGGCAGGAGCUCUGGGUUUGUCUGCACAGGGAACGGGGGUUUAUGGGGCCUUACUGGUGUGGCAAGGGGUAUCGUUCAGGGGCAGAGUAUUUGACCGCAGAUAAAGAGGCCCCCAGUUCAAAUCUGAGUGCUCCCUAGCACUCUAGUCACUAGAGGUGGGGAAGGACUUCCAGUUCCCUCUCUUCUUGCUGAAGCCUCACCUGGCCCCGUGCGUGCUCUCCAAUGUGAACUUGAUCUCCUGGCUGGGGGUGAGGCCUGUGUCUUCUGAAGGUCGCCAGAGAGAAUUCUGAGAUCACCUACAAAGGAACAAUGGUUGGACUGCGAGCAACUCUGCACAGGUGCGAAGGGAGCCAGAAGGUGGUGCGAUGACACAUUCCAUGUGCUGAGAGGACAGAAGUCAGCUCUGAAUUGUCUUCCAGCCAAACUGUUCUGCAGGAACAGACAAUGCUGAGAGCUUUCCUCCCAGAGACACUCACUAGGAAAACUGUAAAUAUACACUUUAAAGUAAAAUGAGCCCACAUGGGAAGUGUGAGAUACAAGAAGGAAAGUUGAACAAAGAAAUUGUAAGAGAUGGGUUAUACUGGAAACUCCAUAUGCGUAGUCAUUUUUCAAAGCCUAUGGUUAACCAGUAACUUCACCCUCCUUCUGGGUAACACACGCCUCUUAGAACAUUUUAAUGCCAUUUACUUCCCUCUCAACUUACAAGUUCUUUCUGGCUGCCUUCAGGAAGUUGUUACCCGCAAGGAAGCCAGCUACGGUGGAAAGAGCUGGAGUUUUAGAGUGAGAAUGACCUGGGUUUGGAUAUUGUUUCUACCAUCAUCUGCCAUGUUUAUGACACCAAGCAAGACAUUUGGACCCUUGGAACCUUAUCUGAAACAUCAGUGUAUAUAAGAAUUGCUGUACAGAGUUGUAUAAAACCACGUAUACUAUACUAUUGGAGCAAGUUAAUAGAUGUUCAAGGUAAUUUUGACUAUAGAUGAUUUUUGCCUAAUAUGCUGGCUUUAUGCUUAAUAGUUUGUCGGGAAAUAAUGCAGGACCAAGAUUAGGACUUGAGAGAAGAGAACCAACGAAACUUCCAGGUAGGGAGAAAGAGGUUCCUGUUAGCAUACUAGACAAUCUGAGGCUGAGAGACCUGAGAAGCAAAGCACAGAAAAAGAAUAAUAAAUGUGAAUGGAGAAAGACAAACAGGUAAAGUAAAUGUGUCAACCUCAGAAUUUCAGUGGCCAUUGGCAGUAAAAAUACAAAAUAAUUUCAACCUAUUUACAUCAUAUAAAUAUAAAAAUAUUUAAAUAUUUUAAAAAUAACAUCCAUAAUUUAAGUGUAGGUGGAUAAUAAUCACUUGGAAAUUGAUGAUGUACUUUAUAUGUUGAAAUGUUAACAGUGAAUUGAAGUAUAUGUUAUUGUAUUUUUAACAUUGCAAAACUAAAAUGCUACAGUAAUUAUUGAG